rnacentral:rRNA from 1 species
UACGGGGGGGGCAAGCGUUGUUCGGAAUUACUGGGCGUAAAGGGCGCGUAGGCGGCCUUCUAAGUCGGACGUGAAAUCCCUCGGCUUAACCGAGGAACUGCGUCCGAUACUGAAAGGCUUGAAUCCGGGAGAGGGAUGUGGAAUUCCAGGUGUAGCGGUGAAAUGCGUAGAUAUCUGGAGGACACCGGUGGCGAAGGCGGCAUCCUGGACCAGCACUGACACUGAGGCACGAAAGCGUGGG